rnacentral:rRNA from 1 species
GACGAACCGUGCGAACGUUGUUCGGAAUCACUGGGCGUAAAGGGUGCGUAGGCGGGUCUUUAAGUCAGGGGUGAAAUCCUGGAGCUCAACUCCAGAACUGCCUUUGAUACUGAAGAUCUUGAGUUCGGGAGAGGUGAGUGGAACUGCGAGUGUAGAGGUGAAAUUCGUAGAUAUUCGCAAGAACACCAGUGGCGAAGGCGGCUCACUGGCCCGAUACUGACGCUGAGGCACGAAAGCUAGGGGAGCAAACAGG